rnacentral:tRNA from 1 species
CGGAGCGUAGCUCAGCUUGGCUAGAGCGCUGCGUUCGGGACGCAGAGGUCGUAGGUUCAAAUCCUAUCGCUCCGA